rnacentral:rRNA from 1 species
UACAGAGGUCCCGAGCGUUGUUCGGAUUCACUGGGCGUAAAGGGUGCGUAGGUGGUGACGUAAGUCGGAUGUGAAAUCUCGGAGCUCAACUCCGAAACGGCAUUGGAAACUGCGUUGCUAGAGGGUUGGAGGGGGGACUGGAAUGCUUGGUGUAGCAGUGAAAUGCGUAGAUAUCAAGCGGAACACCAGUGGCGAAGGCGAGUCCCUGGACAACACCUGACACUGAGGCACGAAAGCUAGGGGAGCAAACUGG